rnacentral:rRNA from 1 species
GAGGAUGCGAGCGUUAUCCGGAUGUAUUGGGUGUAAAGCGUGCGCAGGCGGACUGUUAAGACAGCGGUAAAAUGUCGGUGCGCAACACCGGCCGGCCGUUGAAACUGGCAGCCUUGAGUGAGCGAGAAGUAUGCGGAAUGCGUGGUGUAGCGGUGAAAUGCAUUAAUAUCACGCAGAACUCCGAUUGCGAAGGCAGCAUACCGGCGCUCAACUGACGCUCAGGCACGAAAGCGUGGGUAUC